rnacentral:SRP_RNA from 1 species
GCUGGGCAUGGUGGUACAUGCCUGUAGUCCCAGCUACUCAGGAGGCUGAGGUGGGAGGAUCACUUGAGCCCAGGAGAUCAAGGCUGCAGUGAGCUGAGCUCAUGCCACUGCACUCCAGCCUGGGUGACAAAGUAAGACCCUCUCUCUU